rnacentral:rRNA from 1 species
AUACGGAGGGUGCAAGCGUUAUCCGGAAUCAUUGGGUUUAAAGGGUCCGUAGGCGGACUAAUAAGUCAGGGGUGAAAUCCCACAGCUUAACUGUGGAACUGCCUUUGAUACUGUUAGUCUUGAGUUAUAUGGAAGUAGAUAGAAUGUGUAGUGUAGCGGUGAAAUGCUUAGAUAUUACACAGAAUACCGAUUGCGAAGGCAGUCUACUACGUAUAUACUGACGCUAAGGGACGAAAGCGUGGGGAGCGAACAGGAUUAGAAACCCUAGUAGUCC